ensembl:lncRNA
CCCCGCGCCCGCUUGGACAGCUCCGCGGCGGCGGCUGCUCCGGCUGCCACCUCCGCGUCCUCCUCCCGAAGCGAGGGGCUCCCCCGCCUCGUCACGCCGCCGGCUCCAUGGGGUCGGACCGGAGCCUCUCCUCUCCGCCGCCCCCGGUGGUGCCCGGCGCUCCUCGGGGCGCUCCGCCGCUCCCGUCCGGCGACGCUCCGGGAGACGCCGAGGUCUCCUCUCGCCGUCCGGCUUAUCCCCGUCAGCGCUCGGCUCCUCGCGGCGGCGCGGGCAGCAGCCGGGUGACGGGGGUUAUUGGGGUUAUUGUCAUUAUCUCCCUCUUCCCCUGUGGUUCUGCGUCUCUCCACCACUUUCAGACCAGCCCAUUAUAACGCCGGCGAGAGGCGGAGCCAGGACGGAGAUCUGAAAGGGUGGUGGGUGGGGAAGCAAAGGUAGCAAAGGUGGGUAUGCCCUAAUAGCCGUAUCGGAGCCGCAAUUAGCCCAGAUGACAGCGAGGUCUGGUUGGAAAGUCUUAUUUAUUUAUUUAUUUAUUUAUUUAUUUUAUGAAACGCGAGUGUAUUUUCUCCUGCCGGCUGCCUCCUCCACGCCGGCCGCUCCGAGCGGAGCAGAUCUCCACGGGAUCCGGAGCUCCAGCCCCGCUCCAGGUGCAGCGUGCGGAGCGGCUCAUAGGUGGCAGAGCAGAACCUGCCGCGCCUCGAUCUGCGCUCUCGGCGCCGCGCAGAGCGGCUCGUUGCGAUGUAUGUGACAGCGCAACAACCUGUUGGAACACCGCGCCGCUCCGCAGCUGGGGAUCCCUCGUGGUUUGUGUGGGCCGACGGCCUCGGCCCCUCUCCCCUGCCGUCAUAACAAGGGUGCAGGGCGAGGUGGGAGCAGAUCUCAGAGCUCACCCAGUUUACAGCCAAGAGGAGUGAAGGGGAGAUGUCCUGCUGAAAUCUGUUUGGCAAGUCAGUAGCAACGCCGUCUGUAGAACUGAGCUCUUCAGAGUCUUCAUCCUGUGCUGUAUCCACUGAGGUAUCCCCUGCGAGGCCUAAUCAGAAGUGUUGUGCCAUUUAGCAACCGCUGCCGGAACUGGAAUCGUGCUGUCAUGAGUCUCAGAUAACUUACAGGCUUUCCUCGUGGAUGAUUACCUGGUUUCAUCUAACUGCAGCAAGAGAAAGAAAAUCCAAAUGCUGAAGGACUUACAGGCUUGUGGAUCUCUUUGAGAAGAUUAUAACAGCUAGAAAGAAACCGAUACAAGAUGAAAGCACAAGUAUUGAUAAGUCCGAAUGUAAUUAUCAGGACAGAACUGCUUGCUAAGAGACAGACUCCGCAAUUACAAGUUGUGUUGUGUUAUGUUUGUUACGAAGUUAUGAUUCAGAAGCUGUUUGGUGAAAUCCUGUGGCUCUUUGCCAGGAAUGGUGAAUGUUUCUCGUUACUGGUGCCAAACAAACUAAAAAAGAAACCAUCAUAGCUUCUUACUGCUGGUGCCAGACCAAAUACCUGUUGGCACCAAACUUGGUAUUGGUGCCAAAGGCUUGCUAUCACUGGCCUGUGAUAUGAGGAAACACUGGCUGAGUUGUCACAGUAGCCUUUUAUUGCCUCUACGUCCAUGCAUUGAGCAGAGUGAGCAACAUGGUAGGAGUACAAGAAAAUUAAUCGAAAGCUGAAGGGCUUUGAAUGUGUAAUGAAGUCACUGAACUUUGCUAGCCCUUUCUGGAAUCACCUAAGCCAGUUCAAAAACAUAUGUAUUUUACAUGGGUAAACAAGUGACUAGAGAUAGCGAAGGAUAUGUUUCCAUUCAAUUGAGUUACAGUACUAUUUAUAGCACUGUGGAUUAACAAAUGAGUCACCCUGCCAAUAAUAUUCCAGCUGAAUAACAAUAAGUAUUCCACAUUCUUAUUUCUGUUUUUUUUUUUUUUUUUUAAAUUUAUGUUCUUUGUUUUCAAAAAGCUUUUUUUUCUGUGUGGAAUCCAUUUGUUUAUAUAAGCAUUAACCAAAAAUGUGAAUAAAUAAUGGUGUAAAAAACUUGGAAUUUUGUUGUUGUGUUUUGUUGUUGUUGUUGUUUGUUUUCUCUUGUUUUGUUUGUCAGGAUCAAGUGAACUGCAUUAUUCAGGAGCAGGCUGCAGUGGCCUUCCUGAGAGCCUCUGGCAAUGCUGGCUUGUACAGAAACUCAAGAACUGCCAUGUGCCUGACAUCAUACCUUUGGAAGAAAAGAGAAGUCCUGGGUGUUAGCCCAAGACUGAGAGUGAGUUCUCAGAACUGCUGCCUGAAAUUGUAAAUGCCUACACAUGUUGUCACAUCAAGGGCUUGUCAUCAUCUCAACUCAAAGCAGGUGUUUGCAACACAUGAAGCAAUCACCUGGGAUACGCUAGAGAGCUCUACAUGUAUUUGAGCCUGGAUACUGCUCACUCAUUAUCCUUGCUGAUGCAGAAGGUCUGUUUUGUAACAUCUUUCUAUGAAAAGCUAGAACAUCAGUGCUUGCUCCUGGAAAAGAUGGCAGCAGAAGGGCAGUCUUACAAAAUGGCAUCUAGCAUGGAAGUGUGGAUGAAGCAAAGAUGGCUGGCUCUGUUCAACAUCUACGUGUUGCAUUAACUGAGUACUGUGACAGCUGAAAGUCUAUGAAAAUCCCAUCUGUUCCUGCAUGAAAGAAAAUACCAGGUUGAACAUUCUCUGUGUUAAUCCCAGGAGGAGGCAGAGCUCAGCUGGAGGCAUUGGAAAAGAAAUCCAGGAGGUGGAAAGAAUUUCUUCAGUCACAGUAAUGGUCUCACAUGUACUCUCCUGAAAACUUCCUUGUCUUUUCUUGGUUGUUCAGGCACUGUCCCAGAGCAGCACAGCAAUGCAUGCUUGACCUUGACUAUAUGAUAAGUCCCAGUAAAAUCAGAGAAAAACUUGAAAAUAAACUUGCCGUGCCUUGCAUCUCUCCUCCCAGCAUUAUUUACUGCAGUGAGAACUUGCUGCUUGUGUAGAUGGAACAAAUGAUCGUGGGAUGGGGUCUGCCCCACAAGGAUGCCAGUCAGGGUCAGAUCUUUAUACUUCUGUGCAAGCCAACACAAGUAUUCCUACUGGGACCAUUUUGCCUGUAAGAGCCAAAGAUUUUAAGGCUAGAUAUGAAUCAUGUUUUCCCAUAUGCAUAGAACAAGCCAUGGAGCAGCGCAGUGCAAUUUCUGCAUCAAGCCCAGCGCGACUAUUUGAACCCCAGCACCUUUUCAGAAAGCCAGCUGCAACUUCAAGCUGCAAGUGACAGCAAGUCUACAGCAUCCAUGUAUAAACUUACCCUGGCAUUGGAUUCUGAUCUGAAUUUCUUUAUCCUCAGCUCCAGAAUGAUCUGAUGCAGCAGCUUGCUAUGAAAAUGCCACAAUCUGCACACUGCUUAGUGUGGAGAGGUCAUCUAUGGACUUACAUGCAGGAACCCGUUGUACAAAAAUGGGAUGCUUGGGCUCAGAUUCCUCUUUUGAGGCAGGGGACAUCGAAGAUGCAUCUCAUUCUGACAGAGGCAUGACUUGACCUAAUGUUCUCCUGAAGAAAUUGGGCUGAUUUUCAGGGACUAGUUCAGCAUCUGUUAGAUGAAAAAGGAAGAAUGAGAUUGAGUGUGAUUCUGAGAUCUCGUGUUAACCACUCACCUG